ncrna:Tribolium castaneum (red flour beetle) microRNA tca-mir-276 precursor
UAGACCACUAGCGAGGUAUAGAGUUCCUACGUGAUUUUUCGGCUGUAGGAACUUCAUACCGUGCUCUUGGA